GGUCCCAUGGUUCAGUGGUCAGAACAUUGGACUCUGAAUCCAGUAACCCGAGUUCCAAUUUCGGUGGGACGU
rnacentral:tRNA from 1 species